rnacentral:lncRNA from 1 species
AAUAUAUAUAUAUAUAUAUAUAGGCUAGGAUUACUAUACUCUUAUGAGUGUAGCCACCUUUAUACUCAUAAGUUUUCGGCUGUUCAAUGAAGACAUGUGCGGUUUGGAUGAUAAUGGUUCUCGAUUAGAAUGAUAGUGGUCCCCUAAGGUUAAGUGGGUGGUUGGUUAAAUAGUAUGAUCUAACGAGUAGACAUGGUCAAAGGGGUAGAUUUAACAAUCGUAAACUUAUAAGUACAAAGGAGUCUCUACUCAUAAGAGUAUAGUAGCCGAAAACACACACACACACACACUCUCUCUCUAUAUAUAGUUAUUUAUUUAUUUGUAUUUUAAGCAAACAGGUAAUACAUACAUAUAUAUAUUAUACUUAUAUAUAUAUAUAUAAUAUAAUCUAUAUUAUAUAUAUAUAUAUAUAUAUAUAUAUAUAGUUGAGCUGGAAUACUAUCGGUAACAAACGGGCUCCGUUGCCACCCAUUUGUUUUUGAUGAUGGAGCCUCCAAAUCGACCAUCGGCACCGUUGAACAUAAUCUAUACCACUUGAAGUAUCUAGAAAUCAAAUUUCAUACUUUUCCGAUAUUGUUUUCUUGUCCAUCAAGUGGGCGUAAAAAUAAAUCGCUGAAAAUGAAUAUCCUCUAAAAAGUGAUGAUAGAAAUUUUGUAAUCAUGAUCGAGAAUAUAGAUCUUGUUCUAAAUAGUUUAAAGAAUUUUCUAACCAAAAUUCAAUUGAUUUGGAUAGCUUUACACCGUUAAACGAGAAAACCCCUCAUAUCAACUAUUAAAAUUACUAAUUUUGAAACCCUUUGAUCAUUAGGUAAAUGAUGUCGAAAAGAUUUGAAGUUUAAUUUCUAAAUACUUCAAGUGAUAUAGAUCAUGUUCAACGGUGCCGAUCGUCGAUUUAAAAGCUCCAUCAUCGAAAACAAAUGGGUGGCAACGGAGCCCGUUUGCUACUGAUAGCAUUCCAGCUCAACUCUCUCUCUAUAUAUA